CUUUGCGUUGUGCUACGGAGCAAAUUUUACAUUCCAUUCCGAGCGAAUUGAAUUUGAAAGCACCAGCCGGAAUGGCACGUACGAAAUGGCAGGCCCGGGGCUGCAUUGAAUCCCAAAUUAGAAUGAAAGACUGCAGUGCUAAAUUUUACUCAAAACUUGACUUCCAAGGAUCACUAUGAGAAAGUCCACCUCUAAGAUAGGAAUAUCGCCAAAGAAAUUUUAUGUAUCCUUUUGUGGGAGAGUAUUUUUUGCCACAAGCUAUUACUCAUGUCUUACUGCUGAUUGUUAAUUGAUUGAUUGAUUUUUUGAACGACUUAA
rnacentral:lncRNA from 1 species